CGAUCUUAUCGAAGAUUAGAAAGAAGCGCUGUAGUGCAGGCAUUAUAUCAAGAUCCAUUGUUUAAAGCUGAAGGAAAAACCACAAACAGACGAAAAUAAACAGCGUAAUGUUAUACCAACAAGUUGGGAGAAGGGAUUGUAUGACGACGAAUGGCAAUGCUUACCUGCAAGUUUUCCAUUAAAGUAGCAUCCGAAAUAUAAGGAAUAAUGUGCUUUAGCAAAGCCAGGCAGCUAAUCAAGCCUCCCUCCAAGUUUGCAGUCAGUUUGCGUUUGCACAACGCGAUCAGCUCGCUCAUGUGCGGCAAGUACUGAUAUAGUAUCAGUUGAUGUCCGUAGAGAGCUAGAAAUGAAAGCAGGCAUGACAUAUUUGCGCGUGCUGUGCCCAUAUCGAGGCAAGGCACUAAAAACAAUACACACCGGCGAUGCUGGCGAGACAUUCGAGAACCUUAGCGGCAUUAUUGUCCCCAACGACGCGGCUGCAGGCGAUGCUUAUAAAGUCGACACCGCCAUCCGUUUUCGGCGCCCUUAUCAAAUUCUCCUUUCCCACAUAGCAGAGCGUGAGCAUUUUGAGGAGAUUGCGGCUCAAAUAGCGCGCUGUAAGCACCGGACCAAGUCGAUGCGACAGCCAAAUUAUACUUUCGGUGGCCAUGGAUGAGAUUUUAGCCUCGUUCUUCGGUCGAUCGUUACUCUUGCCCUGAGAAGAAUCACGUGCAUCCACAGCAACAGGAAACUCGACUUCAGACUUUUUGCUUCCUACAUCGCAACUAAUGUUGGAGAGUUCUUUACGCGAAGGAAUUGGAAUGGUGGGGGUCAUGAGGCCUUUGUACUCGACGUCGAGGUGUGUGAGCUCGUCGGUCUCACGUGUAUCCUCAACUGUGGUAUUGUGGAAUGCUUGAUCUGUGGUAAGAUUUGAUUGUAGGCGUUCCAACACCUCUUCGCCAUCGAAGUGAAACACCUCAGGUUCUUUCCCGGGUAAUUUCGUCUCGGACUCACUCGAGUCGUCGCUUGGGGAAAGUUCGUGGCUUUCGCUAUCGAAGGAUUUCAGAUUCGCCUUUUUCGCAUGUUUGUCUGCGUGCGAAUGUAAGAUAAUCUCUUUCUCCUCGAGCAGGUCCCGAUAGCCGCCAACGGCCUCGACCAGUGGCGUGAUGAAGUGCUCUAAAAACGGAAUGUUGGCGUCGGACGUCUCAUGCUCGUAGAGGCGCAGGAUAGGCUGCAGCAACAUUUCGACGCUGCGCUUGAGGCCAAGCGAACGCGCUACUGAAUCAAACAGAUACCACGCCGACAAUACGGCCGUCGGCGGGUCGUCGAUCAAUUGUCGAAUGGGUAAGACCAAGAUAUUCACGAUUUCGAUAUCCUUGCUGGAGUUGAGGUCGUCAAUGAGAUCUUCCAGCUGGUUGGCACAGCUCUUCACCUUACACUCGGCAAUGUUCUGAGUGAGUAACAGCUUCGUGCGCUCAACCAUUUCGAACUCAGCACACUGGUCGCCAUUGCAAGUGAAAUUAUAGAGAAUAUGCAGCUCCGUUGCGACAACCUCGUAAUCCUUGAGCAUUGAUAUAAUUCCGUAGAGUUUAGCAAAAUGCUCAUUGAAAGGUAUCAACGAAUGUAAUAAAGGUUCUAGUAACAGAUGCGCCGACGGUGGUGGUAGGCCGCACUCGCUCACCGGCGCGUACUUAAACUCGCAUGUGUUUAUUUCGUCUGGUGGUAGCAGGAUGUGCACCAAAUGUUUAAUGCAGUUCGGAAUCUCAUGCUUGCAAGAGUUAAGCACGGUGAGGCAGAUUUUCAACCGAUUCUUAAAACGCAGCGCAUUUCCGCUGCCUUGCAGCACUCGGAUCUGUUUGUGCAUGAAAAUCUCCACGAUUAAACAGCCCAACGUUUGCAUUUCCUCCGUGCGACGCUUGGUGAUUAUAUCGCUGUAGGGACACGCGAUCUGAUUCUCGAUCCUGUGGACGGGGCGCGACCGAGAUUGCCGAAACGGCAAGAUAUUUUGAUUAUCAAUCGGAAACGUAAACGACUUUGUCGCUCGAUUAUGGUGUAUGAUCGUCUGGUCAGGCGGCGUUGACAAUUGUUGAAAUAGUCGAUUUGUGAACGCGUUCUGCACCUGCGGCACAUCGUGAAUUAUCGUAGGUUUCUCUUCCUUCGGUGGAUCCUCAUCGGCGCUGACUUGAAUGCGUUUGCCAUCCUCGGUGUGGAAUGUUUUCGAUAGGAAAGAUUGUACGUUUUCUAGAUUGAUUAGAGCCAGACUGGGGUUGAACUCUUUAGGCAGGAUUGUUUUCUGUGGCGGGACGUGACUUGUAAACGUGGGGUUCUUGGGUCCUAAGCUUGCACUGCGCUGGCUACUGGACGAGCGGUUUUUCUCAUCGCGUUUGGUAUCUUCAUUGAGGGACGAACGACUUCUCGACAGUAGUCGGGAGAGAACAAGUGGUCUUGCACUGAGACUCUCUUCAUCGACGGAAGGAUCCUCUUCCUCACUGCGCGAGGUUUCUAAUGUUGUGGAUGAAGUGGAUAAAUCGCGAUUUUCUAUAAUAAGGUAGACCUUCGGUGGGAUCUUGCCCCAAAAGGGCAUGCUCACAAGCCGGGGCGGGUGUGGAUGCACGAACAACUGAACAACACCACUGCUGGUUAAAUUUGUGUGGCCAUCUACUAGAUGUAAGCAGACGUUCUUGCUCUUAAUCGCCGCAGUACCGCUAAGUUUGUAUCCGAAUGUGAGAUCUAUCCAAUGGUGCAGCCGCUCUGAGACAUGUUGGCUCUCCAGCGCCUCUCUGUGCUUAUCAAUAAAAUCUUCGGGGCUCGUUGACCACGGUGGUACAUCGAGGUCGCCCAAGUCGUCGUGAACACUCUUAAAAAUCAUCGGGUCGCUAAAGAACUCAGGUAUGCAUUCGUCGGGCGUCCAUUCCUGCAAUCGCAGGAUCGAACUGGGAUACUCCGCCGGCACCCAAUUGGGCCGCACGUUUUUGCACAGCACCGAUUUGGGCGUGCGGCGUGCCAUGUAAACGUAAUAUGUGAUCGAGCUGAGCACGUCGGAGACGUGAUGCGGCACUUGCGCGUCUUCAACAUGCUCCUGCGUCCACCUCUCUCGGAGAAGUCCGUGACCCAUGGGAAGACGUAGUGACAAUUUGGGUCGGCGAACUUACGUCCCGCUAGGGCAUUGAGCGCCAUUAGGUACGUGUAAUUCGAUAUUUCUCCAUGAAUCCAAAGUUUGGUCAGUUUUUCUAAACUUUCCCCGUUGUUCACGCGCACCUUAUCGUACGUUCGCAACCCACAAUGGGAACAUUUCUGCGCGCCGACGUCGUAUCUAUGCCCCAACUUGCGACAGUCGUACCCCAUCGUAGUCUUGUCCACACGCGGCACCUCCUGCACGUGGAUAUUCGAACAUAGCUGCGGAAAUAUAUGCAACCAGAGGUCGUCGCUUAAGUAAAUGUCCUUCAGGGUGAUGUCGCCGACUGUGAGUGAGCGCUCGUGCAUUGUACGCAGCGCGUUCACCAACUGAUACACGAGGAAAAGUGGUUUAGUGUAGCAUUGCUCUAGGAUUGAUGGGCUGAAUGUCAAACAAUCAUACAAGUUGUGUGGAACAUAUUGAGCAUGAAUCAAAAAGAUAGCAUUGAGUGUUUCAACUGCACAUAAUGCCCCAUAUAUAUUGGAAUGUACAUCAAUUGAUUCUGAUGCAUUUACAUUCAGGUCAGAAUCACAUGUGUUGAUUAUUGCACACCCAUAGGUCCUAAUAAUGGUCUCUCUGAUGACCUCAUUGUAGUUGCAGAGUGUUACUUGGGUGACUCGGUUGCCUUCUGUUGAAUUGUACUUCUUGUAUGCAUCUUUCCAGAGAUUUUUGUAAUUUGUGUGCGCAAUAUACUGCAUUAGCUGAGAGAACAUCAAUGGUGCCUCUGAUCUGACUGACUUGGGUGGUAUCCUUGGCAGGGGGAUAACUUUAGCAUCAGCUUUCUUGAAUAUUUUAACAUAAAUCUUCUGCCAAGACUCAUCUAUAUCAUCGUGCUGAUUGGGCCAGGAGUCAAGUUUCAACUUCUCAUUGAAUUCUGCUAGCCUGGAGUGCUUUAGGAGCGACCUACAAUAAAGUACAAUUGCUGUGAAUCUGUCCUCUCUGGUUGUAGAUUUCAGGAACUUGUUGGGGAUUCCAAGCUCAUCAACCAAGUUGUCCAUCUUUGGUGGUGGUCGCGAGCGCACAACGAGAAGCAGAUGGUAAGUUUCAAGUGAAAAGCACUUUUCUUUACUUCAUUUUGUUGUUUGGUUUGGGUAUAAUCACUUUUUUAAUCGAAUUUUUCUUUGAGUAUUGGUUAACCUAAAAUCACUGACAAGUAGACAACAGAGAGUUAAAGGCAGGCAUGAUUGACAUUUUAAUGAAGUUUUUUUAACCACCUAGAAAAACGAAUCUCGGUUUAAAAGUAUUUAAUUAAAAACAAUAAUUUGUAGAUGCAGAGUAUUACAAAUUGAAUAUAUAUUACCAAUGGGUUGAUGCCUUAGCAAGACAUUGUUGGAGAACCACUUCAGGGUGUAAUUAUUGAAAUUCUUUAUCUCCUUUAUUUUUAUCUCAUGGAUGGGCAAGAUAAAUGGCAUUGUGUUUUUGAGGACUGAUGCAUGCCUGUUUUAGGGGUUUCAAUUUCAUAGGAAAGCUAUACUUUCAUUAUAUUGGGCAUCUUAGGAAACCAACUCUUCCAACACAUGGAACAUAUUGAAUUUUUGUAUCAUUUGGAUAUACACCUUUUUGUAUAUACAUCAUGGGAAGUGUGCAAAAAUGAAAUUUAUGUGUUUUGAGACUGCAAUUUUGUUUGUUUUUGGGGUGCAGCAACUGAACCCGAUCGCGUUAACCAUUUUUGCAUCAGAAAACCUAAGUCCGUUAUCGUAGAAAACUAUUAUUACACCAGAUUAGCUUUUCCACCUGAGUCCGAUAUCGUAAAAGAACCAUUAUUACACCAGAUUGGAUUUCCUCCUGAGUCCGAUAUUGUAGAAGAACCAUUCCUACACCAGAUGGGAUCUCCACCCGAGUCCGAUAUCGUAGAAGAACACCAGAUGGACUUUUCCUCCUGAGUCCUAUAUCGUAGAAGAACCAUUAUUACUCCAGAUUGGAUUUCACUUAAUUAUUUAGGAUUUUUGGAACACAAGCAGAGCGUUACUCAAAUCAAAUUGAAUGAAUCAAAAGUAAUAAAUAUUACCCUGAUGUUUUUAAUUUUGUUUUGUGUCUGAUAUGUUGCUUGUGCCGGCGCAGCGCGUCAAAUUUCUUGCUUAUUUAGAUAGUACUGGUUGGGGCUAUCUGCUUUGUGUUCGCCUGAUAUCAAUUCUCUUUACACUUUAGUCGAUCGCGCGCUGUGAUACGGUUAGCACGUGUUUUUUUCGUCAGUCGAUCUUCGUAGGGACUUUUCGCGUUUCUUACUUUAAUUCUGUAAUUGCCUUCAUCGGCCUUUCGUAACAGGGUAAUGUGGCGCAACCCCAAUUAAUUAUCGGUUCGAUUGUGGUAUUAUCUGCAACCGUGUUGGUCUUUAUGUGCGCCGCGUGCGUGUUCAUCGGCAGUCGUUUAUCUUCUCGAAUAUUGGCAAAACUUGGAUUUAAUAUUAAUUCCUGCUGAUAGACAACGUUGGUGCCCAGUUUUUGAGUAUGGGAGUCAUGGAAUCUGCGAUAUCCAUGAAAGAAGUAUUGGCACAUUUUAAGGUAAGUCUUUACUGUUACGAGAUUUGUGAUUCGUCAAUGUUUUUUUUUAUUUGAAUGAUAUAUGUAUUUUAAAUGUUGUCAAUAAAACACAUUGUAAUGUUAUAAA